CUCCCCUGACCCAUCCAGGGACUGAGAGAGAGCGGUGUAUUCCUGCCUUGUCGUCCCACAGACCACCAGACUUCCCACAAAGAGCCCUCACGGGACUGCCUCAAGCCAGGGUACCUUUUACAGCACCAUCAUUGGAAUAAGCCUCAGAAAAAUCAAGAUAUUUCCCUGAGGUUCCCCUGGCAGGGUUGCCUGACACCAGCCAGCCUUGAACUUGGUCCUGCUCCCGCCACAACAGGGACCUGGGGGCUCAGCCCAGCGUGUGCACUGUGGACCACAGCCUGCCUGACAGCCAAGGCUUCGUUCCAGGCAUCACCCGAAUCCGCGGGGCGGAGAUUCCUCCAACAAUCUCCCCGCCUAGGCCAGGAUCCCACCCGGGGACCGCGUGUUUUCGCUCCUUUCUUGCUCCUGGAGCCGGCUCCUCGCGGGACCCGCCAUGCUUUCAAGCCCAGAGGUUACGGGCAGUGAAAUACCAGGGUUUAUUGCUGUGAGUUUGGAACAUGAAUUUUUUGAGCAAUGCCGUCUGGGGUUCUGAUCUGUGUCUGGCUGUGUGACCUUGACCAGGUGUCUGCACCUCUCUGAGCUCCUGAUUGCUCAUCUGUGAAGUGGGCUAAUGAUCUCAACACUCAGGUUCCUUUGGAGGACUGAAUGUGAGACUGUUAGGGGAACUACUGUGG
ensembl:lncRNA